UGCUUUUAGCAUCAGCCUAUUUCCAUGCUCUGUUUGCAUCUUCAGAUUUCUCUCCAUGUUGGAUACUUACAGCUGAGAAUAUAAGCUCUGAGCCAUCUUGAAAUAACUUUUGGAUGAUUUUGAUAGAAAAUAACAGAAAGCUGUUUCAUUUGUCGUAAAAAAAAAUUAACGAAGUUUGUAACUGACUUGAAAUUCAGAGAGAAUUUCAUAUGGGCACACCGUAUGGCUCUGGUGGUGCUCCCUGAAGUCCUCUGUAGCUGUAUUCCCCUCUGGACUGGAUUUGUCCUUAAAUUGGGAACAAGGGAUGGAGGGCAUGCGGAGAAGAGGAGGUGUAUGUGGGUCCAACAAGAUCAUCAGAGCGAAGAUUAAGGAUAGAACAGCUGCCCUGUAUGCCCUUGAUGGCAGCAGCUUUGGGUCAAAGUCUAUGGACUGGCACUGCAGAGAAGUACACUGCAAGGCUGGAGAGAAAGACAAGGCUUGUAUGGAAAAAAGACUGGAAGAAAAUAGAAAAUAAAGGGCAAUAGAGACGAAAUCCUUAAACAACAACAAAAACCAACAAAUGAAAAUAACCUCAAGUUAACACUGUUGGGAGACUGUCAAUUUGUGAGAUUUCUAGACAUA
rnacentral:lncRNA from 1 species